UAGGGAAUCUUCGGCAAUGGACGAAAGUCUGACCGAGCAACGCCGCGUGAGUGAAGAAGGUUUUCGGAUCGUAAAACUCUGUUGUUAGAGAAGAACAAGGACGUUAGUAACUGAACGUCCCCUGACGGUAUCUAACCAGAAAGCCACGGCUAACUACGUGCCAGCAGCCGCGGUAAUACGUAGGUGGCAAGCGUUGUCCAGAUUUAUUGGGCGUAAAGCGAGCGCAGGCGGUUUCUUAAGUCUGAUGUGAAAGCCCCCGGCUCAACCGGGGAGGGUCAUUGGAAACUGGGGGACUUGAGUGCAGAAGAGGAGAGUGGAAUUCCAUGUGUAGCGGUGAAAUGCGUAGAUAUAUGGAGGAACACCAGUGGCGAAGGCGGCUCGAUGGACUGUAACUGACGAUGAGGCUCGAAAGCGUGGGGAGCAAACAGG
rnacentral:rRNA from 1 species